UGUGAUGUGAUAGCAAGUGGAAUUGUUAAUGCAGCCAAACAGGUUGCACUGAAAGUACCAGUGGUGGUUCGUCUGGAAGGUACUAAUGUUGACCAAGGAAAGAGAAUUCUCAAGGAAAGUGGAAUGGCGCUAAUCACAGCGGAAGACUUGGAUGAUGCUGCGGAGAAAGCAGUAAAAGCAUUAGCUAGUUGAGAAAUCAAGGAACAAACCCAGUUUGUUGCCCUCACCAUUUUUAUAACUCUCCGGAUGGAUUUUGGGGAAACAUAUGUAUUGAAUAUUGACAAUAACAUAGCAGCAAUGAGGGUUAUUACCCUUGGAAUUUUUUUUCUGUUACCAUCACUAAAUAUUGAGUUUUUGUGGUUGGGAAAAUUGUCGCAAUCUCUAUGGUUGUUCUUGGUGAUGAAAGAACCCCAAGCCUAGAGGCCCUAGACAGCAGACACUGUCGUUUCAGAAAUUUUAUAUGGCUUGCAAGUCAAUAUGCUAUUUGUAAAAGGUGGAAAGAUUUUGGACAUCUGGCUGUCAAGCCUUGAUAUUUGAUAUUUGUUGUGAUUUGAACAUUAUGUGCCCUUUGUUUGUUCAUUGCAUACUAUACUUGUAUUGCAUGGAUUCCCC
rnacentral:misc_RNA from 1 species